CUUGAAAGGAAGCAGGAGUUUCUUUGAUGCUUUCUUUGAAUUGGAACCUUAUUAUUGGCAAGGAUUCCUCUCCUCAAAGUUGUCUUUAGGGGAGCUUGCCUUGUUGAGCUUAUCUUUAUUUGGUAAUGCCUCAAAUUCGUCUAGGUUUGAUAUUGUUACAAAAUGUCCUGCACCCUUGGUUAGAUUGAUGGGUAAUUUAGCACUUGAAACCAUCAUAUGAUGA
rnacentral:misc_RNA from 1 species